rnacentral:rRNA from 1 species
CUCCCACCCUUGAAUAUUAUACCUUCGUUGCUUUGGCAGGCCGUGGAAACACCAGAGGCUCCGGCUGAUGCGUGCCUGCCAGAGGAAACAAACUCUGUUUUUAGUGAUGUCUGAGUACUAUAUAAUAGUUAAAACUUUCAACAACGGAUCUCUUGGUUCUGGCAUCGAUGAAGAACGCAGCGAAAUGCGAUAAGUAAUGUGAAUUGCAGAAUUCAGUGAAUCAUCGAAUCUUUGAACGCACAUUGCGCCCCGUGGUAUUCCGCGGGGCAUGCCUGUUCGAGCGUCAUUUCAACCCAUCAAGCUUCGGCUUGGUCUUGGGGCCUGCGGUUUCGCAGCCUCUAAACCCAGUGGCGGUGCUAUUGAGCUCUGAGCGUAGUAAUUUCUCUCGCUAUAGAGUCUCGGUGGUGACUUGCCAACAACCCCCAAUUUUUAUCAGGUUGACCUCGGAUCAGGUAGGGAUACCCGCUGAACUUAAGCAUAUCAAUAAGACGGAGGAA